UACGUAGGGGGCGAGCGUUGUCCGGAUUCAUUGGGCGUAAAGCGCACGUAGGCGGCUUGGUAAGUCGGGUGUGAAACCUCCAGGCUCAACCUGGAGACGCCACUCGAUACUGCCAUGGCUCGAGUCCGGUAGGGGACCAUGGAAUUCCUGGUGUAGCGGUGAAAUGCGCAGAUAUCAGGAGGAACACCAGUGGCGAAGGCGGUGGUCUGGGCCGGUACUGACGCUGAGGUGCGAAAGCGUGGGGAGCGAACAGG
rnacentral:rRNA from 1 species